rnacentral:rRNA from 1 species
GACGAACGCUGGCGGCGUGCUUAACACAUGCAAGUCGAACGGAAAGGCUCCAGCUUGCUGGCGUACUCGAGUGGCGAACGGGUGAGUAACACGUGGGUAAUCUGCCCUGCACUCUGGGAUAAGCCUGGGAAACUGGGUCUAAUACUGGAUAUGACCUUUCUCCUUAUGGGGUUUGGUGGAAAGUUUUUCGGUGUAGGAUGAGCCCGCGGCCUAUCAGCUUGUUGGUGGGGUGAUGGCCUACCAAGGCGACGACGGGUAGCCGGCCUGAGAGGGUGAUCGGCCACAUUGGGACUGAGAUACGGCCCAGACUCCUACGGGAGGCAGCAGUGGGGAAUAUUGCACAAUGGGCGGAAGCCUGAUGCAGCGACGCCGCGUGAGGAAUGACGGCCUUCGGGUUGUAAACCUCUUUCAGCAGGGACGAAGCGUAAGUGACGGUACCUGCAGAAGAAGCACCGGCUAACUAUGUG